rnacentral:rRNA from 1 species
AACGAACGCUGGCGGCAUGCCUAACACAUGCAAGUCGAACGAGACCUUCGGGUCUAGUGGCGCACGGGUGCGUAACGCGUGGGAAUCUGCCCUUUGCUACGGAAUAACUCGGGGAAACUCGUGCUAAUACCGUAUGAUGUCGCAAGACCAAAGAUUUAUCGGCAAAGGAUGAGCCCGCGUAGGAUUAGCUUGUUGGUGAGGUAAAGGCUCACCAAGGCGACGAUCCUUAGCNGGUCUGAGAGGAUGAUCAGCCACACUGGGACUGAGACACGGCCCAGGACUCCUACGGGAGGCAGCAGUGGGGAAUAUUGGACAAAUGGGCGAAAGCCUGAUCCAGCAAAUGCCACGUGAGUGAUGAAGGCCUUAGGGUUGUAAAGCUCUUUUACCCGGGAA